UAGAUUCAUAGACAGGAAAGGCCAACAAGGCAGAACAAAGAGGCGGGCAGAGGCGGCACAGAGCAGCCAGCUGGUCUCGGCCCCCUGCAGACCCCCCAGAUGCAGGUGUUGUCAAUCACACAAAUAAUAACACAUCUGACAAGCAGCCGAGACAGACACCUCAAAUCUGGCUCUGACCACAGGAAGCUCGUCUCUUCCUGACGGACUUUUCCUGAUGUGUCCCCUGGGGACCCCAGGAUAAGACGAGACCUCACCGUGCAGAAGCUACAGCUGAGCAGACGGCUCCCUCGAGAACGGGGAGUCUGACCGGAUCUUCCCGCACUCCAGCCUCCUCACCUGGUGACUUCGUUUCCAUCUCUUUGCUACAUCCUGCAUUUGCAGCCUCCAUAUCAUGAAUCCAUGUAGUCCCAAGAAAGCACCUGACCUGAUGGGCGGGGUCUCCUCCAAAAGGAUCUUUUCAAAAAAACACUUCCUUGGUGGAGA